AAGGAGGGAUAAGAAUCAAUGGGCACUGCUAAUUCCCAUAAAUCAUGGUUAAAAUCCAAGGCCUUCUUG
rnacentral:tRNA from 1 species